rnacentral:rRNA from 1 species
AGAACGAACGCUGGCGGCAUGCCUAAUACAUGCAAGUCGAACGAACUCUUCGGAGUUAGUGGCGCACGGGUGCGUAACGCGUGGGAAUCUGCCCCUUGGUUCGGAAUAACAGUUGGAAACGACUGCUAAUACCGGAUGAUGACGAAAGUCCAAAGAUUUAUCGCCAAGGGAUGAGCCCGCGUAGGAUUAGCUAGUUGGUGAGGUAAAGGCUCACCAAGGCAACGAUCCUUAGCUGGUCUGAGAGGAUGAUCAGCCACACUGGGACUGAGACACGGCCCAGACUCCUACGGGAGCAGCAGUAGGGAAUAUUGGACAAGUGGGCGAAAGCCUGAUCCAGCAAUGCCGCGUGAGUGA